rnacentral:rRNA from 1 species
GAGUGCUUGCACUCAGCUGACGACCGGCGCACGGGUGCGUAACGCGUAUGCAAUCUACCUCUUACUGAGGGAUAGCCCAUGGAAACGUGGAUUAAUACCUCAUAGUAUUAUAGACUGGCCUCAGUUUAUGAUUAAAGGUUACGGUAAGAGAUGAGCAUGCGUCCUAUUAGCUAGAUGGUAAGGUAACGGCUUACCAUGGCUACGAUAGGUAGGGGUCCUGAGAGGGAGAUCCCCCACACUGGUACUGAGACACGGACCAGACUCCUACGGGAGGCAGCAGUGAGGAAUAUUGGACAAUGGGCGAGAGCCUGAUCCAGCCAUGCCGCGUGCAGGAAGACGGCCCUAUGGGUUGUAAACUGCUUUUACAGAGGAAGAACCCUCCUUACGUGUAAGGAGCUGACGGUACUCUAUGAAUAAGGAUCGGCUAACUCCGUGCCAGCAGCCGCGGUAAUACGGAGGAUCCAAGCGUUAUCCGGAAUCAUUGGGUUUAAAGGGUCCGUAGGCGGGUCUAUAAGUCAGUGGUGAAAGUCUGCAGCUUAACUGUAGAACUGCCAUUGAUACUGUAGACCUUGAAUUAGUAUGAAGUGGUUAGAAUGUGUAGUGUAGCGGUGAAAUGCAUAGAUAUUACACAGAAUACCGAUUGCGAAGGCAGAUCACUAAUACUAUAUUGACGCUGAUGGACGAAAGCGUAGGUAGCGAACAGGAUUAGAUACCCUGGUAGU